GAUCCGUUGACGUCGGCGUCGCGACGAUAAAAUUUGACGCGCCCACGCUGUGAUUGACCGGUUUCUCUUCGGGCCGAGAUGCGAUUAGGCCAAAGACGGUUUGCGCGGCCACGCGAACGGCUGCUUUCAGAGACGAGCCUCUUUUUUAUUCCUUCAACACAUCAGCAUUAUUUACCGUAUGUGUAUAAUAAGAAGACGUUUUCCGUUGCUGGCAUUGUAUUACACGAUUUGCACGUAAGUGAAACGUGCAUUUUUUUGCUGCUGGCUGGACAAACUCGACUUGCCGCGUCUGCAGAGCGUUGAACUUUUUUUUUCUUUUUUUUUUUCCUAUCGCAACGAGGCUUUUUAUUCAUCGAGUCUCGUGAUUCAUCGGAUGCAAAUUAUGCAAUUUAAUUGCUAGUCAGAAAUGGUACGAAUACACAGUGUAUAUGCUAUUUAUAUAGAGAAAUAGAGAAAGUAGAA